ACAUUGGUGGUGGAGUGGUUAUCAUUGUUGCUUCCCAUUAAUUGAUUAGCAAUAGUCCCGGGUUCGAAUCCCGGCCAAUGUA